rnacentral:rRNA from 1 species
UACGUAGGUGGCAAGCGUUAUCCGGAUUUAUUGGGCGUAAAGGGAACGCAGGCGGUCUUUUAAGUCUGAUGUGAAAGCCUUCGGCUUAACCGGAGUAGUGCAUUGGAAACUGGGAGACUUGAGUGCAGAAGAGGAGAGUGGAACUCCAUGUGUAGCGGUGAAAUGCGUAGAUAUAUGGAAGAACACCAGUGGCGAAAGCGGCUCUCUAGUCUGUAACUGACGCUGAGGUUCGAAAGCGUGGGUAGCAAACAGG